AACUGUUGCCUCGGCGGGAUCUCUGCCCCGGGUGCGUCGCAGCCCCGGACCAAGGCGCCCGCCGGAGGACCAACCAAAACUCUUUUUGUAUACCCCCUCGCGGGUUUUUUUAUAAUCUGAGCCUUCUCGGCGCCUCUCGUAGGCGUUUCGAAAAUGAAUCAAAACUUUCAACAACGGAUCUCUUGGUUCUGGCAUCGAUGAAGAACGCAGCGAAAUGCGAUAAGUAAUGUGAAUUGCAGAAUUCAGUGAAUCAUCGAAUCUUUGAACGCACAUUGCGCCCGCCAGUAUUCUGGCGGGCAUGCCUGUCCGAGCGUCAUUUCAACCCUCGAACCCCUCCGGGGGGUCGGCGUUGGGGAUCGGCCCUCCCUUAGCGGGUGGCCGUCUCCGAAAUACAGUGGCGGUCUCGCCGCAGCCUCUCCUGCGCAGUAGUUUGCACACUCGCAUCGGGAGCGCGGCGCGUCCACAGCCGUUAAACACCCAACUUCUGAAAUGUUGACCUCGGAUCAGGUAGGAAUACCCGCUGAACUUAAGCAUAUCAAUAA
rnacentral:rRNA from 1 species